rnacentral:rRNA from 1 species
UACAGAGGGGGCAAGCGUUGUUCGGAAUUACUGGGCGUAAAGGGCGCGUAGGCGGUCUGCUAAGUCGAACGUGAAAUCCCCGGGCUCAACCCGGGAACUGCGUCCGAUACUGGCAGGCUUGAAUUCGGGAGAGGGAUGCGGAAUUCCAGGUGUAGCGGUGAAAUGCGUAGAUAUCUGGAGGAACACCGGUGGCGAAGGCGGCAUCCUGGACCGAAAUUGACGCUGAGGCGCGAAAGCCAGGGGAGCAAACGGG